rnacentral:rRNA from 1 species
CCUACGGGAGGCUGCAGUGGGGAAUAUUGCACAAUGGGGGAAACCCUGAUGCAGCGACGCCGCGGGAGUGAAGAAGUAAUUCGUUAUGUAAAGCUCUAUCAGCAGGGAAGAAAAUGACGGUACCUGAGUAAGAAGCCCCGGCUAACUACGUGCCAGCAGCCGCGGUAAUACGUAGGGGGCAAGCGUUAUCCGGAUUUACUGGGUGGAAAGGGAGCGUAGACGGCAGUGCAAGUCUGGAGUGAAAGGCGGGGGCUCAACCCCCGGACUGCUCUGGAAACUGUACGGCUGGAGUGCAGGAGAGGUAAGUGGAAUUCCUAGUGUAGCGGUGAAAUGCGUAGAUAUUAGGAGGAACACCAGUGGCGAAGGCGGCUUACUGGACUGUAACUGACGUUGAGGCUCGAAAGCGUGGGGAGCAAACAGGAUUAGAUACCCCAGUAGUC